GCGAACGGGUGAGUAACACGUAAGUAACCAACCGAUUAGACGAGGAUAACUACUGGAAACGGUAGCUAAUACUGGAUAGGAUAUGGUCUCAUAAGGGACGAUAUUUAAAGGCGCUUCAAAGCGCCACUAAUUGCUGGGCUUGCGGCGCAUUAGAUAGUUGGUGAGGGUAACGGCCCACCAAGUCAACGAUGCGUAGCUGGGCUGAGAGGCCGAACAGCCACACUGGGACUGAGACACGGCCCAGACUCC
rnacentral:rRNA from 1 species